GUUGAACGCUGGCGGCAUGCCUUACACGUGCAAGUCGAACGGCAGCACGGGAGCAAUCCUGGUGGCGAGUGGCGAACGGGUGAGUAAUAUAUCGGAACGUGCCCAGUCGUGGGGGAUAACGUAGCGAAAGCUACGCUAAUACCGCAUACGAUCUAUGGAUGAAAGCGGGGGGAUCGCAAGACCUCGCGCGAUUGGAGCGGCCGAUAUCAGAUUAGGUAGUUGGUGGGGUAAAGGCUCACCAAGCCAACGAUCUGUAGCUGGUCUGAGAGGACGACCAGCCACACUGGAACUGAGACACGGUCCAGACUCCUACGGGAGGCAGCAGUGGGGAAUUUUGGACAAUGGACGCAAGUCUGAUCCAGCCAUUCCGCGUGCAGGAUGAAGGCCCUCGGGUUGUAAACUGCUUUGUACGGAACGAAAAGGUUUCUCUUAAUACGAGGAGCUCAUGACGGUACCGUAAGAAUAAGCACCGGCUAACUACGUGCCAGCA
rnacentral:rRNA from 1 species